UUUCCUAGGACUUGUUUUCAUUCAGGUUGUGGACAAAGGCAGGUUGGACAGGUACAAAAAUAAAUCCUCUUUUGCAAACCAGAAAUCAUUGUUCAGUAUGAGUUUUGAUACAUACAAGAAGAAAAAAA
ensembl:snoRNA